GGGGGACCACCCUCCAAGCCUAAAUACUCGUACAUGACCGAUAGCGAACACAGUACCGUGAGGGAAAGGUGAAAAGCACCCCGAUGAGGGGAGUGAAACAGUACCUGAAACGGAUUGCCUACAAGCAGUUGGAGCUCUCUUGAGGAGUGACAGCGUACCUCUUGCAUAAUGGGUCUGUGACUUAAUCUAUCAAGCAAGCUUAAGCCGUUAGGUGUAGGCGCAGCGAAAGCGAGUCUGAAUAGGGCGCAGAGUCAGAGGGGGUAGACGCGAAACUUUGUGAUCUACCCAUGAGCAGGCUGAAGGUUGGGUAACACCACCUGGAGGGCCGAACCAGUUUCCGUUGAAAAGGAUUUGGAUGACUUGUGGGUAGGUGUGAAAGGCCAAUCAAACUGAGAAAUAGCUCGU
rnacentral:rRNA from 1 species